AUUGGCUUAAAAACCUACGACAAUGGACGAAUAUGAUCUCAAUAGAACUGUUCAGAACGGCUGCAAAUAAGAUUAAAUUGACAAAUGUAGUGGCCAACGUCCUUAAGGAUACGGCACGGGCACCGUAAGAAGAAGAUAAUUUGGUCAGUCGUACCAAAGUAUGUUUCCUCUAAUCGACUUAGCUCACGCUGGGUAAGCUGUUUUCAAUAGCCACUAGACUAAUAGUAUUAUUUUAUGAAUGACAGUUUUAUGAAAUUCAAAAGUGUGAUUUCCUAAACUUUAUUUACAAUUUGCGCCCGUUAUUAAUCAAAAUUCAUAGUUGGCGCAAUGAUACGAAAUGAUUGUAAUUUCCAGACGAAUCUAUUCAUGUAAAUUUUAUUGCAUUUGAAUGACAUUAUAUUUUCCAUAAGAUCUGUGAGGUGUGCGGUGUCCUUUAAAAUUUCAGAGUUGUUUAAGAGUAUUUGCUAUCAAAUAUAUUGUUAAAUGUUUAAAUAGUUUUAAAUUAUUUGUAUCUAACAAACAGAAACAAAUCGAAAAGAAAAUUUUGUUAAAAACUCGAACUCACUUGUACUGGCGAUAUAAAUAUCUAGAAAAAGAAUAUUAUCAUGUUUGAAGCUGUUACAUUUCUUCAUUCGUUGUCAAAACUGUCUUUAUAAUAUCCCCUCAGAAGUGUUAGUUUGAUGGUUUAAAUCAGAAGUGAAUUCUCUCAAAAAACAAGAUACUUGUUUUAAAACAUUUUAGUUGUCGGUAGUUUUAUAUAGACAAACUUGGUCCUUAAAUGCUCUAAAAUGGUUUAAUGUCUUUCUGAAAGACACUGCAAGUUAAUACAGUACAGGGCAGACCAUUGAGCCUCUCUGAUGAUCCCUAAGGAGGGUGAAACGUACGUUAGAGGAUGAUGGUCAUCUCUGAAGCAAUUGAAAUACAAGAUGUCUCUCUUUCAUUUUAUAUUAGCUUAUUCCUAUCUGUAUCUGAGCACAGAUACCCAAGAUUGGUUGGAAUUUUUACUUAGAUGAAUAGACAGGUAGUGAAAUGCAAUUUUAGAUUCCCCCUAGUCUUCUUUAAUUCAUCGUACCCAUCUUGUCUUUGAAAUGGAGUGAAAAACGGUAUGGUACAAUGUUUAUUAUGUUUACGGAUGACUAUAACUACAGACAAACCAUUACUACUACUACUACUACUACUACUACUACUACUAGUAGUAGUUACGAAGAAAAUUCGAUCUAUCAAUAGAUAGGAAUAUUAGACCAUGGUAUAUAUUCUAUUUAAACCAUUAAACCUAUACAUAGUAUUAAAAGUUAUUGAAAUAAUUUUUAUGUGCUCGAAAAAACUGUAAGAAAAUCAAAAUAUAAAGGACAAUCUGUUUUUACAUACUACAAAUGUGUUCUGAUGGCAUUUUAUUUGUUUUGUAGUAUAUAAAAUUAUUAUCGACAUACAAAUUUGUUACUUUUAUGUCUUGCUUUUCAGAAAAUUGAAAAUAUUUCUUAUGAACAUUAUAAAUGAUUUUGUGUUUCAGUUUUUAUUAAAUUUAAAUUAUCCUAUGGCAAAACUAACUCUUUACGAAGAAUAUUACUUCACUUUUGAGACAGAAAA
rnacentral:lncRNA from 1 species